ACCUGGAUGGCUGAGUCAGUUAAGCAUCUGACUUCAGCUCAGGUCAUGAUCUCGUGGUUCAUGAGUUCAAGCCCCACUUCGGGCU
rnacentral:tRNA from 1 species